rnacentral:rRNA from 1 species
GACGAACGCUGGCGGCGUGCUUAACACAUGCAAGUCGAACGGGAUUUAGUAAACAGAAGCCUCGGUGGAAGAUUACUAAUGAGAGUGGCGAACGGGUGAGUAACGCGUGAGCAACCUGCCUAUGACAGUGGGAUAGCCUCGGGAAACCGGGAUUAAUACCGCAUAAAAUCGUAGAAACACAUGUUUUAACGGUCAAAGAUUUAUCGGCCAUAGAUGGGCUCGCGUCUGAUUAGCUAGUUGGUGAGAUAACAGCCCACCAAGGCGACGAUCAGUAGCCGGUCUGAGAGGAUGAACGGCCACAUUGGAACUGAGACACGGUCCAAACUCCUACGGGAGGCAGCAGUGGGGAAUAUUGCACAAUGGGGGAAACCCUGAUGCAGCGACGCCGCGUGAACGAAGAAGGUAUUCGUAUCGUAAAGUUCUGUCCUAUGGGAAGAUAAUGACAGUACCAUAGAAGAAAGCUCCGGCUAAAUACGUG